rnacentral:rRNA from 1 species
UAUGUGAUCGUCUCUCGCAUAUCAAUAAGCGGAGGAAAAGAAACUAACAAGGAUUCCCCUAGUAACGGCGAGUGAAGCGGGAAGAGCUCAAAUUUGAAAUCUUAAAGGGUUUCCCUUUACGAAUUGUAGUUUAAAGAAGUGUUUUCUGUUGAGGUUUUGGUAAAAGUUCUUUGGAAUAGGACAUCAUAGAGGGUGAGAAUCCCGUAUUUGACCUUUACUUUCAACUUUGUGAUACACUUUCAAAGAGUCGGAUUGUUUGGGAAUGCAGUCCAAAAUGGGUGGUAAAUUUCAUCUAAAGCUAAAUAUUGGCGAGAGACCGAUAGCGAACAAGUACCGUGAGGGAAAGAUGAAAAGAACUUUGAAAAGAGAGUUAAACAGUACGUGAAAUUGUCAAAAGGGAAGCGUUUGACACCAGUGUUGUUUUUCUGAAAAUCAAUUAAAGAACUGUUUAUGCUAAGUUGUUUAGACUUUAUCAGCUAUCUGUUUAGUUUUGAGCUUUUCUUUAAUGCACUUUUCAGUUAACAAGUCAACAUCAAUUUCUUUUGCUGUAAAAAAGCUUGAGGAAGGUGGCUUGAGAUUCGUCUUAAGUGUUUAUAGCCUCUUGCCUAUGCAGUCGGAGAGAUUGAGGUCUGCAGCGUAGAUCCUUCGGGGCUAAAUGCAUUUGUGCUAAGUUAUAGCAUUUUAUAGACAACUUGUUGACUAUGACUUGUCUUGUAGCUUACUCGCUUAUGUUAUUUUACCUACGCUUAGGAUGUUGAGUCAUCACACAUCUCU